rnacentral:rRNA from 1 species
UACGUAGGGUGCGAGCGUUGUCCGGAAUCAUUGGGCGUAAAGCGCGUGUAGGCGGUUCGGUAAGUCGGCUGUGAAAGUCCAGGGCUCAACCCUGGGAUGCCGGUCGAUACUGCCGGACUAGAGUUCGGAAGAGGCGAGUGGAAUUCCCGGUGUAGCGGUGAAAUGCGUAGAUAUCAAGUGGAACACCAGUGGCGAAGGCGAGUCCCUGGAAAAUACCUGACACUGAGGCACGAAAGCUAGGGGAGCAAACAGG